rnacentral:rRNA from 1 species
CAACAGAAGGUGGUGCUCAGGGUCCCGACCAUGACCGACGACAAGGCCAAGCAGAAGGCCAUCGAAGCGGUCGCGGAUAUCUACGGCAUUGAUUCCAUAGUUGCGGAUCUGAAGGACAAUAAGAUGAUCAUCAUAGGCGAGAUGGACACUGUGGCAAUCGCAAAGAAAUUAAAGAAGGUUGGGAAGAUUGACAUUGUGUCCGUUGGACCUGCAAAGGAAGAAAAGAAAGAAGAGAAGAAAGAAGAAAAGAAAGAGGAGAAAAAAGAGGAAAAGAAAGAAGAGAAGAAAGAGGAGAAGAAAGAGGAGAAAAAAUGA